rnacentral:rRNA from 1 species
AGGACGAACGCUGGCGGCGUGCCUAAUACAUGCAAGUCGAACGGUCUUUCUAUGGAAGCUUGCUCCACUGAGAAGAUAGUGGCGAACGGGUGAGUAACACGUGGGUAACCUGCCCAUAAGAGGGGGGAUAACAUCCGGAAACGGGUGCUAAUACCGCAUAGUUUUCUUGAUCGCAUGAUCGGGAAAGGAAAGACGGCCUUUGUGCUGUCGCUUAUGGAUGGACCCGCGGCGUAUUAGUUAGUUGGUGAGGUAACGGCUCACCAAGACGAUGAUACGUAGCCGACCUGAGAGGGUGAUCGGCCACAUUGGGACUGAGACACGGCCCAAACUCCUACGGGAGGCAGCAGUAGGGAAUCUUCCGCAAUGGACGAAAGUCUGACGGAGCAACGCCGCGUGAGUGAAGAAAGGUUUUCGGAUCGUAAAACUCUGUUGUCAGAGAAGAACAAGUUGGAGAGUAACUGCUCCAGCCUUGACGGUAUCUGACCAGAAAGCCACGGCUAACUACGUGCCAGCCGCCGC